UACGUAGGUGGCAAGCGUUGUCCGGAUUUACUGGGCGUAAAGAGCGCGCAGGCGGUCGUUCAAGUCGCGUGUGAAAGCCCCCGGCUCAACUGGGGAGGGUCACGCGAUACUGAUCGACUCGAAGGCAGGAGAGGGUAGUGGAAUUCCCGGUGUAGUGGUGAAAUGCGUAGAUAUCGGGAGGAACACCAGUGGCGAAGGCGGGUUGCUGGGCUGACACUGACGCUGAUGUGCGAAAGCUAGGGGAGCGAACGGG
rnacentral:rRNA from 1 species